rnacentral:lncRNA from 1 species
UGCCAAGGGUUUUGCUCCACCGUCAUUCAUCCACUAGAGCGCUGGACUCUCCAGGAUCGAUCGAUAGAUAUCGGCGCAGGUAGAUCGAAAUGUUGCUAGAUGGAUAUGUGUUGGCCAGAUUAUCGAUGGUCACGGGGACGAUUGAUGGAGUGCUUGGAGAUGCGAUCGCCUGCUAACGUUCCAGUGAGUUUUGUUCUUGAAACAUCAAAGGAAAAACCGCUUUUUUCAGGUAUGCUACUAGCAUUCGAGCGAAUCCAGGAUGCCUUGCGAAGUUUUCCCCGGAAGCUGAUCAAUCUAGCACAGAAGCAGUGGCCUCGCGAUCGAUACACCAGUUACUACAAAAUCCAGUUUUUUUCUAGAAAAAAAAAGAAACUAACAUUGUGAUGGUUCUUCAGGUAUGCGUUUCUAUGCAUUCUAGCGAAUCCAGGAUGGUUGUUUAUUGCGAGUCACACACACACCUCACAGAUGCACAGUAAGUGUUUCCAGCACGCUCUCUAAUGCUCCGAGCACGCAAACGUGUCUCCUCUUUGCAGGUUAUCGAGAAUCCCAUUCAGGCUGUGCGCCUGGAAGGCGCAGUUCGAGCAAGUUGAGCUCCCAUCGCUCACUGAACAAGCCGCGCAGUCCGACGCUCCCUGGUGCUGCACCAAGCAAACCGUGCCAACUUGCUGCUCCCACGACCCCGUGACCACGGUAUCCCACUCGUCACCGAUCACGACCAUGCUACGCUUCAUCUCUGGAGAGAGCUGCAAGGACCUCGACCGCAGCGAGCCUCCAGCUCCCGGGCCGCUGAAAGCAACAACAGCAGCAGGUCCGCCGAGCGUUGCCGAGACGAGAACCGCGAGUCCGGCACCCAGGCUAUGGCCAGUGAGCAGCAGCGAUGCGUUUGGAUACGCCUCCACAGCCUGGCGUGUGUAGCUCACACCUUGGGAGACGUAGUCGAGGCUCUGGUUGGAAUAGGUGGAGAGGCAAGAGCUCAGGCUGGGAAGCGACACCCUUGGAAGCUCUCCAAACAGGAUCCGAUCGACGCACAGGUCUGCCUGGGUGGAGGUGCCCCGGAACGCAACCACAAUGCGUUUGUGAGCGGAGGUGGUGUCUUCCUCGUACACUAGGCCCCGAGCUCCGGUGUUUGAGGAGGGCUCGAGUGUUGGGACUUUGGGGGAUGGCUUCCAGCCGGGGACGGAGGCGGGCGUGGCCGAGAAUCCAUAGGCGUUGGAGGAGAUUGUGACGAGCGGGGAGAUGAAGAGUGCCAGGCGCUUGGGAUCAUACUGUGAGAGCUUGGAGACUUCGUCCCACGCUUCUGGAGCUUCUUCGCUUGGUGGGAUUUGUUUGGCUGAGCGGUGGUGGUGAUGGCGGGCUAGAAGAACACUGGUAGUAACAAUGGCGACCACAACCAAGAGCACGAGCAGGAGAGUGGUGCAUUUGCAAACCAUGGCUUUGGGAUUUUUCUUCAUUGGAUCAAAUUCUCACCUGUGUUCUCCCUGCGGGCCUGAGAAUUAGAGAUUCACCGGAUCUCACCUAUCCCCGUUGCCUUUGUCAAAGCUUCCAACUCUUUUUCACUUUAUAAUGGUCUAGAUUUUUCAGCUCUCUCUUGCUUUAUAAUAUCUCGACUCUUACAUUUCGAGUCUUCACAACAUGAAACUAUGGCGCCCAUACUAUUUUCUUAGAACUGAAUUUUAAGAUUCACAGAUCUCACCUAUCGGCAUUGCCUUGGUCAAAGUUUUAUAUCUUAUGAUCUAGCACCACACUUUUGGAUUUCUUAGAUUUUCUAUUUCUUUCUUUAUAUUAAU